rnacentral:rRNA from 1 species
AUGAACGCUGGCGGCGUGCCUCAUACAUGCAAGUCGAGCGAAUAGACGAGGAGCUUGCUCCUCUGACGUUAGCGGCGGCCGGGUGAGUAACACGUGGAUAACCUACCUAUAAGACUGGGAUAACUUCGGGAAACCGGAGCUAAUACCGGAUAAUAUAUUGAACCGCAUGGUUCAAUAGUGAAAGACGGUUUUGCUGUCACUUAUAGAUGGAUCCGCGCCGCAUUAGCUAGUUGGUAAGGUAACGGCUUACCAAGGCAACGAUGCGUAGCCGACCUGAGAGGGUGAUCGGCCACACUGGAACUGAGACACGGUCCAGACUCCUACGGGAGGCAGCAGUAGGGAAUCUUCCGCAAUGGGCGAAAGCCUGACGGAGCAACGCCGCGUGAGUGAUGAAGGUCUUCGGAUCGUAAAACUCUGUUAUUAGGGAAGAACAAAUGUGUAAGUAACUAUGCACGUCUUGACGGUACCUAAUCAGAAAGCCACGGCUAACUACGUG